rnacentral:lncRNA from 1 species
GUAGUUUUGCCUUGUACAUCGAGAUUACUCUGUACAUGAGUAAGGCAAUUCAUUGGGUACCUUUUUGGUGUUAUUUUUCAGUAUUUCUACAGCUUAUUAGAUUUCAGAUUAUAGAAUUCAGUUAAUUCAGUUUUCAAAAUAAAGCUUUCAGCUUAUAGUAUUGAUUAACAGCAAUAUUUCAUAGAUUUUCACGGAUGUCAUAAUAUUUAUAUUCGUUACAUUUUACAGUUACUUAUCUAAAAUGAAGAACAAAGAAUUUUAUGAUGUAUUCAUAUUUGAUUGUAAAAAGUGUUACCAGAUUUUAGAAUUUCUUAAAGUUUCAAUAAUGAGAAAAGUAUACUUAUUUGCAAAUUAUCCACUCAUUAAGCUUUAAGCUCAUAUAUUUUUCACCUUUUUUCUUUAUCAGGCAAAUAACAGUCGAAUUGGGCAGCUUUGGAGCCUGUCGAACCACUACAUUGAGCCACGCGUCAUAGGUUGUAUGACAUCCUUUAUCAAAUUAUACAUUAUAUGAUCUUUUGGGAUACAUGUAGCUUAAAUCAGAAAAGUUCAAUAUGGACUCAUUAAAUAGUUGGUAUCUUUAGUAUGUUUGAGGAUUGUUGAUUGUAAAGCAAGUGAAUGUUGAUUUAUCAGUAUUUUAUUUGAAUAGUUUGUAUUUUGAUGGACUGUCUUACCCUAUUUAUAUUAUAGGUAUUGAUUUGAAGAAAAUUGAUUAAUGUUUAGGUGGUUUUAGUUCAUAUUUCAGGGAAAAUUCUGUCAAAAUUUUGUUAAAAAUAAAUUUUAGUCGAGCAAGUCAAGUUGCCUUGGUGGUGGGUCCAGCGUUUAGCUGGUAUCUACCAUCGGUGCAAGACACGUAUCGAAUCUACUACGAUGAUUCGGAAGGGUCGUGUCACUAAUGGUUUGAACUUUUAAAUGAGGUGGUCAAACACAAUCUGGAGCAGGAAGGUGUCUUAUAUUCAAGUCUCACUGUCAAUGUGCAUGUGUCAAGCUUUUGAUUAAAAAGUUAUCAGAUGUACACUGAAGGAUAUGGUUAAGGCAAUUUGAAUAAAUAAAUUUGUGCUUUUUAUAAUAUUUUAAGCUUUUGAAUAAGGC